CCCUGGCUCAGAACGAACGCUGGCGGCAGGCUUAACACAUGCAAGUCGAGCGCCCCGCAAGGGGAGCGGCAGACGGGUGAGUAACGCGUGGGAAUCUACCCAACUCUACGGAAUAACUCAGGGAAACUUGUGCUAAUACCGUAUACGCCCUUCGGGGGAAAGAUUUAUCGGAGUUGGAUGAGCCCGCGUUGGAUUAGCUAGUUGGUGGGGUAAAGGCCUACCAAGGCGACGAUCCAUAGCUGGUCUGAGAGGAUGAUCAGCCACAUUGGGACUGAGACACGGCCCAAACUCCUACGGGAGGCAGCAGUGGGGAAUAUUGGACAAUGGGCGCAAGCCUGAUCCAGCCAUGCCGCGUGUGUGAUGAAGGCCUUAGGGUUGUAAAGCACUUUCACCGGAGAAGAUAAUGACGGUAUCCGGAGAAGAAGCCCCGGC
rnacentral:rRNA from 2 species